rnacentral:rRNA from 1 species
GACAGAGGAUGCAAGCGUUAUCCGGAAUGAUUGGGCGUAAAGCGUCUGUAGGUGGCUUUUUAAGUCCGCCGUCAAAUCCCAGGGCGUCAACCCCUGGACAGGCGGUGGAAACUACCAAGCUGGAGUACGGUAGGGGGCAGAGGGAAUUUCCGGGUGGAGCGGUGAAAUCGCGUAGAGAUCGGAAAGAACACCAGCGGCGAAAGCACUCUGCUGGGCCGACACUGACACUGAGAGACGAAAGCUAGGGGAGCGAAUGGG